rnacentral:rRNA from 1 species
UACGGGGGGGGUAAGCGUUGUUCGGAAUUACUGGGCGUAAAGGGCUCGUAGGCGGCCAACUAAGUCAGACGUGAAAUCCCUCAGCUUAACUGGGGAACUGCGUCUGAUACUGGAUGGCUUGGAUUCGGGAGAGGAAUGCGGAAUUCCAGGUGUAGCGGUGAAAUGCGUAGAUAUCUGGAGGAACACCGGUGGCGAAGGCGGCAUUCUGGACCGGUUCUGACGCUGAGGCGCGAAAGCGUGGGG